UGGAUGAAGACAGAGCAGUGGAGUUUGACACUAGCAUGUAUCAUUUUAGUGAACAUGUACCUCCAGCGAGGGAGAGCAAGAGCUUUUGUAUGUUCUCCG